UACGUAGGGUGCGAGCGUUGUCCGGAAUUACUGGGCGUAAAGCGCGCGCAGGCGGUUCUCCAAGUCAGUGGUGAAAGCCCGGAGCUCAACUCCCGGAAUUGCCAUUGAAACUGUUGAACUUGAGGACGAGAGAGGUGAGUGGAAUUCCCAGUGUAGAGGUGAAAAUUCGUAGAUAUUGGGAAGAACACCGGUGGCGAAGGCGGCUCACUGGCUCGUUUCUGACGCUCAGGCGCGACAGCGUGGGGAUCGAAACAGG
rnacentral:rRNA from 1 species